UUGAUUCUAUUUCUCAUAAACUCAGAAUUACAAUUGACAAGAGUUUGAUAUCCCUCUGGCGGACGCUCUCCAGCCAUAGGGCUGGCGGCGGCCAAAGCUACCGGUCCGCCAAAGCAACUGAUAAAGUUAACAUAGGGUGGGAGUUGGGAUUUAGGGUCCCAGAACUCUAUAAUGAUCCUUCCGCAGGUUCACCUACGGAAA
rnacentral:misc_RNA from 1 species